rnacentral:rRNA from 1 species
AGGGAAACCGAGUCUUAACUGGGCGUUAAGUUGCAGGGUAUAGACCCGAAACCCGGUGAUCUAGCCAUGGGCAGGUUGAAGGUUGGGUAACACUAACUGGAGGACCGAACCGACUAAUGUUGAAAAAUUAGCGGAUGACUUGUGGCUGGGGGUGAAAGGCCAAUCAAACCGGGAGAUAGCUGGUUCUCCCCGAAAGCUAUUUAGGUAGCGCCUCGUGAACUCAUCUUCGGGGGUAGAGCACUGUUUCGGCUAGGGGGUCAUCCCGACUUACCAACCCGAUGCAAACUGCGAAUACCGAAGAAUGUUAUCACGGGAGAGACACGGCGGGUGCUAACGUCCGUCGUGAAGAGGGAAACAACCCAGACCGCCAGCUAAGGUCCCAAAGUCACAGUUAAGUGGGAAACGAUGUGGGAAGGCUCAGACAGCCAGGAUGUUGGCUUAGAAGCAGCCAUCAUUUAAAGAAAGCGUAAUAGCUCACUGGUCGAGUCGGCCUGCGCGGAAGAUGUAACGGGGCUAAACUGUGCACCGAAGCUGCGGCAGCGACGCUUAUGCGUUGUUGGGUAGGGGAGCGUUCUGUAAGCCUGCGAAGGUGUCCUGUGAGGGAUGCUGGAGGUAUCAGAAGUGCGAAUGCUGACAUAAGUAACGAUAAUGCGGGUGAAAAGCCCGCUCGCCGGAAGACCAAGGGUUCCUGUCCAACGUUAAUCGGGGCAGGGUGAGUCGACCCCUAAGGCGAGGCCGAAAGGCGUAGUCGAUGGGAAACGGGUUAAUAUUCCCGUACUUGGUGUUACUGCGAAGGGGGGACGGAGAAGGCUAUGUUGGCCGGGCGACGGUUGUCCCGGUUUAAGCGUGUAGGCUGGUUUUCCAGGCAAAUCCGGAAAAUCAAG